GGUGUCUUACUUCCAUUCUAUUGGUGAUCUGAUGAUAGGAAUCUGCAAGAGUGGAGGUUGUUUAUGUGAUAAUACCUGUAAGAAUAAAAAUAUACUGCUCCUAGCUUCCCUAGGGCCUGUCUUUUAAAAUUUUUGGCUGUCAUGUUUUUAAUUAAUUUAUUUUUAGCCACACCAGAAGCGUGUGGAAGUUUCCGGGCCAGGCAUCAAACCCGUGCCACAGGAGCAAUCAGAGCCACAGCAGUGACGACAAUACCAGAUCCUUAACCUGCUGCACCACCAGGGAACUCCCUGAGAAUUUUUUUUUUUAAUGUCUGCACCUAAGGCAUAUGGAAGUUCCCAUGCUAGGGGUCAAAUUGCGGAGCCGCAGCUGCCAGCCUACGCCACAGCCACACCAGAUCCAAGCUGAAUCUGCGACCCCUACCAUCGCAGCUUGUGGCAACGUCUGAUCCUUAACUUGCUGAGCAAGGCCAGGAAUCGAAUCUGCAUCCUCAUGGAUACUAGUUGGAUUCUUAACCCCUGCACCACAGUGGGAACUCUGAGAAUGUAUUAUUCCUGCUGAUUUUGGACCUUCAUUCUGUCCUUGCUCCGAAUUGAUUGGGGGGGAGGGACUAAGACUUUGAGUCUAUGUGUCUUGCUCAAGGUCACUCAGCCAAGAGCUGGUGAAGGCAGGAUUUGAACCUAAGUCUGUUUCUGGGACUGGAGCUCACUUGAGGUUCUCUGCAAUCAGCACUUUCCUCUCCCCGCCAUGGUCAGCCCUGUCUGCAUGGCCCCACUCGUUGGGUCCUUCUCUCAGGGGCCUGUGCUCACUUGGUCUCCUUUCUUAAGAUCUGAAAGGUAGACUGGGGAGGGGUCGAGGCGGGGGGGCCGCGCUCAGCAGUUGUCUAGCUUAAUAAAAACCCUUGAUCUUUUUUGGGGUGGCCUGGGGUGGGGGGGAGUUGCAGCUGUUGUAAGAAAACACUUGCUAAAGGAGGCAAUGGAACAGCUGAGCUGCGUGGUGCCCUGAGAGCAGUGAAGGUUGCAGGCACACACAGUAGGAAUUCACAAACAUUUCUAGAAUGGGCGGUCACACACAAGGCUUCUGUUCGGAUGUUCGGUGGCUCAGAGCAGGUACUAUAGGCUGUUCAGGGCGUCGAAUGCAUACAUGUGUGUAAGAGUAGGCGUGUGCACGCGUGUGCAGGGGGGCAGGUCUGAGUGAGACAAGGCUUCUUGGGUGAAGGGCUGGCCUCAUGGGUCUGGGCACUUGAGAAAGGCUGGCGCGCUCACCUUUCCCCCAGGAGCUGGGAGAUUACAUCUGGCCCUGAGUCACUGCUCCCUGGAGGAAGUUAAUUAAUGCCUAAAUAUUUACUGAGUGUCUGCGGGGACAGUGUGGAGCAGGGCACAGAACCUAUCAGGACCUGGGCUCCUGUCAAUUUCUAGGUGGUGUCAGCCUCACCUUGGAGUCGUGAACACCUUGAAGAGGCUACGCACGCUGGUGGCACCUUUUGGUCACCCAGCUCAGUGGUGGGAGGUAUGCUAGGAAGGUUCCUGGUCUGCAGUGGGACUUGCCUGGUCGGCUUCCAGGGACUGGUUUGGGGAAGAGGAUGCCGAGGCUAAAAGCUUCUUUGAGGGUCUUGUGUUGAGGGCAUGGAGGGGGAGAGAAAUUUCAAACUUAUGUAUUCAUUCCUUUGUUUAUUCACCCCAGAGAUAUGUCCAGAACCCUGCUCUGGAAUCGCUGCAAAUGGAUCGGGGACAAGAUGUGAUCCUGCCCUCAGGAGGCCACGAUUCAGAGGGAAGCAGACAGAUAAGCAGACAGGAUGAUACCGAGCUGUAAGUCUGCCAUCAGAAGCGUGAGGAGUGGGGUAGGGGGGUGGGGGCGGGGUGGAGGAGUUGGGGGAGGGGCCCCCAAAGCUGCCAGGAGACCAAGGAGGGGGAGGGGCCUUUUAGCACUCCAGACCUGGUGGCUGUAGGCACUGAAUAAAUACUUGUGGAAGAAAUCGCUCGAUCCGUGUAAGUAUGCAGAAGAACGUUAGAAUUGGAAGCACCCAAGGAGUUGGGCCGCCCUCCCCUCCAGGUUCCAGAAGGGUAAACUGAGGCCCAGAGAGGCGGAGGGAUGUGUUGAGGGUGUCAGCCCGGAGCUGGGGCUGGAACCCAGCUGUCCCACUUCCCAGUCCGGUUCUGGCUGCCCCAGCUCCAUGUCUCUAGGGCUUGGAGUGGGGGUUGCUCUGUGGGGAGUGAGAUUUGGGACUGCGGGCAGCGGCAGAGAAGGCAUGGGGCAUGGCUGGCUGCAGGUCACUGCUGAGUUCCCUCUGAGGUUGCAGGGCCAGUGAUGCUUGGACUCGGGAGCCCUGUGUUGCACCCCAAGAGGGCUGUUCUGUGGCUGAUGGGCACUGGGGCUCUUGGCGGGGAUUCCAGAGCUGGGGAAUCCCCUCUCCUUCCCUGAAGAACCAGCCUCCUGUCCCUUUCCCAGACACAGGUUAAUGACCUGUCUGUGUUUGCCCAGCAUGGUCCUGGGCAACGGGCUUGGUGCCCGGGAAGACAUCACGGCCCUUAAGUGGAAUGUGGAAGAUUGACAGCGGCCUGGCUUUUUGGAGCUCGUGUUCUGUGCCAGGCACGAGGCCGAAUGCUUCCCCGGGUGGUCUCCUUGAAGCCCCACACCAAACUUUGAGGCAGGCUUGGCCGUAAUCUCCAUUUAUGGAUGAAGCCACUGAGGGACAGAGAGCUUGGGUAGCUUGCCUGGGGUCACACAGCAGGGAAAGAGAAGUAACUCUGAUCCCAGGGCCCUGGGGAAGUGGGGGCACCGCGAGCAGCAGAAGAGGAAGGGAGACCCCCGCUCUUACUUUUGGAUUCGUUGGCCUUUUGAACGAAUUCUGUGCUUAUCGAUGGAAUAUGCAGAGAGGACAGAUGUGAUCUCUCGUCUGGGGUCUCUGCCCAAGCACCUGGCACAGGCUGGGUGCCCAUUUGCUUGUUCAUUCAUUCAUUUAUUCAUCUAUUCAUUCCCUCACUCAACGAUCAUGGACUAAAUACUGGCCGAGGAGCAGGUGCUGUGCUAAGAACACCAGGCGGCUCUCACUGCCCGAGCAGGGCUGAGGAUCCUUUUCAUCUCUUAGGCCCACUCUGAUUGAUUGGUAGUGUCUGUCCGGAGCCUUGGUUUGGAAGGCAUUUGCCUUGUGCUACAGUUGAUUGGUGAUGUCUGCCAAGGGCUCAGCUGGGAGCCUUCAUGGCAAAGCUGCCGGGUAGCUGCCCCUGAGAUGAGGAUGGAGUGUCUGUUCAUGGCUUUGGGCAUCUGGGCUGGUCCAGCAGACGGCGCGGGGACUGGGGGGUCAGGAGAAGUGGGCUCUAGCCCCAGACUGGCCUGUUAUCCUCAGGCAAUGCCCCUUGCCUCUCUUGGGCCUCAGUUUCCUCAUUUGUCUUCUUCCUCCAGGAGGUACUUACUGUGAGCAUCAGAUGACAAAAAAGUGCUUUGAAGAGUUGAGAGGAUUAGUAUUAAAAUGAAAUGGAAAAUGUCCCCCCUCCCUCUGUUUUCCUUUCUCAAAAUCCUGCCAGAAGCUGAGUGUGCUGGGCAGGCCAGAGUUAAUCCUGGGCUGGCUGUGCGUGCGUGCGUGCGUGCGUGCGUGUGUGUGUGUGUGUGUGUGUAUGUGGGUGGGUGGGGGGCGGCUCAGCGGUUCCUGGCUCCGAGUUGUUUUUAUAACUCACUUAGUACAGACCUUUGUCCCCUCAACGGCCUCAGCUGGGAGUUUCUAAGCAGUGAGAAGCUCCUUGAAUCUUAGGAACAGAAUCUUAGAAUUUUUUUUUUACAUUUGAGUGGUGGGAGCUGGUGUGCGUGCCACCUGCCUCCUCCACCUCCCCACUCAGUGAAAAAACUGUAGGCCAUGGUGCCAGACACAGAACUACGUUUAACACGGAUUUUUUUUUUGGCUGUGCCUGUGGCAUGCGGAAGUUCCUGGGCCAGGGAUGGAACCCCAGCCACGGCAGUAACCUGAGCCAUGGCAGUGACAACGCUGGAUCCUCAACCCGCUGAGCCAGCAGGGAACUCCCAAAUAUGGGUUUUUUUUUUUCAUGAACCCUCAAAACAAUCUAGCAGGGUGGGCAGCACAAUUAUCCCCAUUUUACAGAUGGGGUAACGGAGGCCCAGAGAACGGAAGUUCUGGGGCCACACGUCUCCUGACCACUGCUGCCCUGUGGGUACCAGCCUCUGAUUCAAGCAAGAGGAAGCUGGUCUCAUCCAUUCUUGAUCGGCUGUGCCUUGUUCUUGCUCUUUUGUCCGUUCACCCAUUUGCUCUGGUGUUCACGUCAUCCUUUUGUUCUUUCACAACUAUUAAGAGCCUACUAUGUGCCGGGCUCUGCAUCAGCUCCCAGACCCACACGGUCUCCACUCCUAAGGACUUUUCUUACAUUCCAGACCAGAUGGGAAACAAAGAAGACCUAAGUCAGUAGAUAAACAAACAAGACUGCCGUGAGGGCGAUAAAAGAAGUAAACGGGGCUUUGGGGUGGGGACUUGGGGCAGGGGAGUGCCCAGCCUUGCAGGCUUCCGGGGCAGAGGGUACCAAGCUCACAGCCCUUCCCCGGGGCCCAGGUCCCUGCUUCACUGGCCCCAACUCUCCAGCAAUCUGUUCUGAGCUCAGGCGUCAUUCCUGCCCCGCCUGCUCCCCACAAGUGGUGAAUUUUUAAUGCUGCUUACACGGAACAAAGCAGAGUUUUUGGUUUUGUUUUAAGAGCGUUUCUCAACAACAACAAAAAAAUCAUUUCUGAAGUGUGUGUUGAAGAGAGUGAGAAAGAGCCCAGGGAGUUCCAAUCAGCUCUCCCCAUCAUCUCCUGAGCUCCUUUUAAUUAAAGAAAAUGCAAAAUGUGGGGCUGGAGUUCCCGGGUGGCUUAGUAGGUUGGGGAUCUGGCAUUGUUACUGCUGUGGCUCUGAUCACUGCUGUGGCUUGGGUUUGAUUCCUGACCCCGGAGCUUCUGCAUGCCACAGCCCACCCUCCCAACAACAGCAACGUGGUGCCACACAGGAUCUCGGUCUGGACUUUGUGUUGGCAGAAGGGCACCUGGGAGGGUCCUCGACAUCCAUGUCCUCCGUGAGCCCCUUGGGGACCCAGGCCCCAUCAUUCCUUUUGUCAUACAGAUGAGGAAACCGAGGUGCAGAAGCAAGACGUGUCUGUGGCGUGUCCUCCCGCUAAUAAUGGUGGAGUGGGAGGCAGGAAUCACAUGGGUCCAAUACUGCCUGCCCCAUCACACACACGCACGCACGCACACACGCACGCACGCACACGCGCAUGCGCUCAAGGCUAAGUGAGUUGCCUAAAGUUGCUGCUCUGGCUUCAGGAGGGGUGCAAAUGAGGGAAGGAGCUCUGCUUGUGACACGAAAGGGGUGGGGAGGGGGGACGAGGAGAGAGGCAAACAGAUUCGAGAGUGAAGCCUGGUGGUUUGUGCUGGGGGAAGGGGGCAGUUGGAGCCUUUGCCCAGAACUAAUCCCAGGGUGUAGCAAAGUGGGUCUCGGCCUUGUGUCCUUAGUGAUGGCUCCCCGUGCCCCCUCUGAGCCUAUCCAUUGAGCCCUUACUGUGUACUUGUCACCACCUUCUUGGCAUGAGUCGUCUUGUUGACCCCUCGCGAUAGAAUCCAUGACUGAGAUACCUUCCUCAUCGCGCCCACUUUACAGACGAGGAGGCCGAGGCCCAGAGAGGUGAACUGACUGGAAUCUAGGCUGAUUUGUCUCUUUGAACCCUGACACCGGGGGAAGCAGAUGGCAGGAAGAAGGCGGCUUCCAGGACGGAGAGCUGAGGCUGGUGAACAACCUCGUGAACUUGUGAAACAUUGAUGCUGUUCUUGUCCAUCUUUUCAGCCUAAUUUCCUUGGUUUUCAAGGCUCAGGGUUGGGAGGGUGGUUUGCCCCAGCACUGCUGCUGUAGGGACAGCGAUGGUCCCAGCGUGGAGCCUCAUCUCCCUUUGUGCUGCCUCCUUGUGGCAGGGGCUCUCUUCAGGGCCUGGUGUCCUCCUUGGCAGUGAGGAUGUUUUUGUCCCAUUCAUUUCUCAUUCAUUAGAAAAAGGCAUGGGAGUUCCCACUGUGGCUCAGAGGGUUAAGAACCUGACUAGUGUCCAUGAAGAUGUGGGUUGAUCCCUGGCCUCCUUCAGUAGGUUAAGGAUCCAGGGUCACGGUAAGGUGCAGUGUAGAUCUGACGUUGCUGUGGCCAUGGUGCAGGUCAGCAGCUGCAGCUCCAAUUCAACCCCUAGUGGGGGAACUUCCAUAUGCCAC
rnacentral:lncRNA from 1 species